rnacentral:piRNA from 1 species
AAAUAGGACAAUAAAGCUGGCAUUU